CAAAAUAUGCUAUUUCCUCCGUCAUAUCCAUUUUCAAUUUCAUGGUUUUAUACUUCGAAACUCUCAAAAGAGCUCUCCAUCUACUCCUGUCGAAGACGACGGUCAUAGGAUUUUGAUAAAAAUUCAUCUCGAAUUCGAUUCAUGAUCGGGUUUAGAUCAUUUUAAGAUUCUCUACCUUUCCCCUCUCUCUUAAUCCCCAAGAACUACUCGAAAAUGAUCUCACAACAAACAGAUCUGGAGAUGCGUAUUUUGGCGGUCCUUCUUUGAUGCUGCCGGUAAGAUUAUUCAAGUUUGGAGAUAUUGUAUCACCAAUUCCUACCACUGGAAAUUUUCCAGGGAGCUUAAGAAAGGGAACAAAGAACACACAUAAUGUUAUCUCAAUAUUAUAUAACACGUUUUGUAGUUGUGGAGGAAGGUUAGAGAUCUCAAGGGAGAGAUUGUUCCAAUGGACCUGUUGUAUAUAAUGGAAAGGUUUUGUUGAAGCUGCUCUAUCUUUUCAUCAUUUAAUGAAAUAAUUACUGUUAACUUCUAAACCAUCCUACGUAAAUCCAGCCAUUAUGCAGCUAGAGUUUAGCAUGGUUGAUAUUUUUGUCAGUCUGUGCGGACUACAGUGACAGUCUGGCUAUCAUGAAUGUUGGAUUUUCUAUAAUUUUGCCGAUGUGUACAUAGUUGUACACUAGUGUGAAUUAAAAAAAAUGUAAAAAUGAAAAUUAUAUAAUCAUAUGGGUACUCUUUUUGUAGAUCUCGAAAAGAGCUUUCUGAAUAUGUAAAGUUUGUGAA